CUACGGGUGGCUCCAGCUGAGGAAAUUUUACAAUGCUCGAAAGAGUGAUAGAAUAAACCAGAGUGUUGUUCUUAGAACAACUUUUAUCUGAUGUAAAAAGUCAGAUGAAUAAGGACUGGGCAAGACCGGUGCCAGCCGCCGCGGUAAUACCGGCGGUCCAAGUUGCAUCCAUUUUUAUUGGGUCUAAAACAUUCGUAGCUUGUUUUGUAAGUUUCUUGUGAAAUCUCAAGUCUCAAGCUUGGGGCGUGCAAGAAAUACUACAUUACUAGAGACCGGAAGACGUAAGGAGUAUGAUUAAGGUAGCGGUAAAAUGUGUUAAUCUUAAUCAGACUAACAAUGGCGAAGGCACCUUACGAGUACGGAUCUGACAGUGAGGGAUGAAGGCCAGGGGCGCAAUACGGAUUAGAUACCCCCGUAGUC
rnacentral:rRNA from 1 species